UACGGAGGUUGCAACCGUUGCUCGGAAUCAUUGGGCGUAAAGCGCACGUAGGCGGCCUGUUAAGUCGGGUGUGAAAGCCCUGGGCUCAACCCAGGAAGUGCACUCGAAACUGACGGGCUUGAAUAUGGAAGAGGGUCGCGGAAUUCCCGGUGUAGAGGUGAAAUUCGUAGAUAUCGGGAGGAACACCAGUGGCGAAGGCGGCGACAUGGGCCAAUAUUGACGCUGAGGUGCGAAAGCGUGGGGAGAAAACAGG
rnacentral:rRNA from 1 species